UGGAGCGGCGAGUGCCGAGUCUCGAUGACUUCGCGGGACAGAGCUGGAGCUCGUGGGUGGAGCGGGCCGACCUGCCUGCGGCAGACGAAACUGAGGUACAAGGGCAACCCCUGGACAAAGCCCCCCCAAGAAGGGGAGGGGCUUGCGUAGCUGAUCAAGGAGACUUUGAAGAUGCCAAAGGGUCCAAAGACAGCAGUUUCUCUACUCUAUGGCCAUCCUAUCAGUGCAGGACCUGAGAAGCUGAGUGUAACUUUGAUGAUACUAUGGUAACUUGGGUGGAGCAAACUGAGUUUAUGGGGGUGGGGAUCUGGGAGGGUAUUUGUCUGGGAUGCCACAGAGUAGUAGAAAGGACCCAUGUAAGCAGUCUCAAAAGGGACCUGUAGAAAAAUUUUAGAACCAUUUCCCUUUUAAAUGGGGGAAGCAA
rnacentral:lncRNA from 1 species